rnacentral:pre_miRNA from 1 species
UUAAUACUCCCUCCGUUCCUAAAUAUUUGUCUUUCUAGGCAUUUCAACAAGUGACUACAUACGGAGCAAAAUGAAUGAAUCUACACUCUAAAAUAUGUCUACAUACAUCCGUAUGUAGUAGUCAUUUGAAAUGUCUAGAAAGACAAGUAUUUAGGAACGGAGGGAGUAUAAU